rnacentral:rRNA from 1 species
AGGGUUUGAUCAUCGGUCAGAACGAACGCUGGCGGCGUGCUUAAGACAUGCAAGUCGAACGGUAAGGCUUGUCACUCUUCGGAGUGACUCGCACACGAGUGGCGCACGGGUGAGUAACGCGUGGGUAAUCUGCCUUCGGGUUUGGGACAACUCCGGGAAACUGGAGCUAAUACCGAAUAAGACCACGAGGUCCUUGGGCCUUGCGGAAAAAGGUGGCCUCUUCUUGAAAGCUAUCGCCUGUAGAUGAGCCCGCGUCCCAUUAGCUUGUUGGUGAGGUAAAAGCUCACCAAGGCAUCGAUGGGUAGCUGGUCUGAGAGGAUGAUCAGCCACACUGGAACUGAGACACGGUCCAGACUCCUACGGGAGGCAGCAGUCGGGAAUCUUGCACAAUGGGCGAAAGCCUGAUGCAGCAACGCCGCGUGAGGGAUGAAGGCCCUCGGGUCGUAAACCUCUGUCGGAAGGGAAGAACGUAUUUCGGGCCAAUACCCCGGAGUAUCGACGGUACCUUCAAAGGAAGCGCCGGCUAACUCCGUGCCAGCAGCCGCGGUAAUACGGAGGGCGCGAGCGUUAUUCGGAAUCAUUGGGCGUAAAGCGCGUUGUAGGCGGCUGGGUUAAGUCGGAUGUGAAAGCCCGGGGCCUCAACUCCGGAAUUGCAUACGAAACUGCC